UUAGGCCCAGUUACUUCUAGAUGUGGAAAUGGCCGAACUGACUCUGCAAAUAGGUUACGACUUCCAAUCAUACUACAAGUAAAUUACAAAGGAAAGCAGUCUGAGGUUUAUGGUGUCACUUUGAGUAUCCCAACUUCUUGGAGACUUCCAAGGAGUUUGGGGAGCCCCAGGUCGCAAGACCCCAUUGCAGAGAGGGCCCUGCCCCAUACCCAGAAGGAAGGAAUGCAGCUCAGAGAGGCCAAGAAGAAUCUAGACCAGUGAUUUUCAAUGGGUCAGUCACAAUUAGAGAAAGCCAAAUAUGCAAUCAGCUGUCAGAUGUUCCACUUCCAGUUGGUGACUUACAGCUUCUCCACACCGUCAGCCUCCAACCAGGGCACACCUGAAGCCUUUCCCCUCAUCCACUGUAAAGCUUUACUGCUCCUCUGCCUGCCCUUGAGUCUCUGUCAGGAU